rnacentral:misc_RNA from 1 species
GCCUUAAAAGCAUUAGCUGAUCCUCGUGUGGAACUGGUUCUACUCAGCGUGAUAACAGUCUGAUCGCUGAGGACAUCUUUCGGGAUGGCCAGUCCCCAUUUUGGAUUGCUUCUAGACCUGGUUUUUGCAGAUUGUGUUUGAUCUGUAUUCCAAUUUUCAGCUUUGACCUCGAAUCAGGUGGGACUACCCGCUGAACUUAA